UACGUAGGGGGCGAGCGUUGUCCGGAUUUAUUGGGCGUAAAGAGCUCGUAGGCGGUUCGAUAAGUCGGACGUGAAAUCUCCACGCUCAACGUGGAGGGGCCGUUCGAUACUGUCGUGACUCGAGUCCGGUAGGGGAGUGUGGAGUUCCCGGUGUAGCGGUGAAAUGCGCAGAGAUCGGGAGGAACACCCGUAGCGAAGGCGGCACUCUGGGCCGGUACUGACGCUGAGGAGCGAAAGCGUGGGGAGCAAACAGG
rnacentral:rRNA from 1 species